rnacentral:rRNA from 1 species
CCUACGGGGGGCAGCAGUGGGGAAUAGUGCGCAAUGGGCGAAAGCCUGACGCAGCGACGCCGCGUGAGGGAUGAAGGUCUUCGGAUCGUAAACCGCUGGCAGCAGGGAAGAACGGUCACGGUGCUAAUCAGCAGUGAAUUGACGGUACCGGCAAAGGAAGCACCGGCUAACUCCGUGCCAGCAGCCGCGGUAAUACGGAGGGGGCGAGCGUUAAUCGGAAUUACUGGGCGGAAAGCGCUCGUAGGCGGUAGGUCAAGUCAAGGGUGAAAUCCCCGCUCUCAACGUGGGAACUGCCUUUGAAACUUGCACACUGUAGUGUGUGAGCGGAUAGUGCAUUUCCAGUUGU